rnacentral:rRNA from 1 species
UCGCUCCUACCGAUUGAAUGAUCCGGUGAAAUCGGUGGACCAUGAUGCAUUAUGAUUUAUCAUGUGCAUUGCUGGAAAAUUGAUUAAACCUUAUCAUUUAGAGGAAGGAG